GUGAAUCAUCAAAUUUUUGAACGCAAAUUGCACUCUCUGCUGAGCGUAUGACUGUUUGAGGGUCAGUAUUAAUAAAAAUCGGUGUGUUUCUUCUUUGUGACGCUCCGGAGUUUGGGUCAUCUUAAUAUCCUUUAGGUUUUAAGAUGCUUAAAAUUGACUUUUUUUUCGCAUUUUGGAUGUACAUGAAUUCUUUUUGUUCUUCGUCUGUCUUAAUGUUUAAAAUCCUAUUAGAUUCGUACAUAU
rnacentral:misc_RNA from 1 species